rnacentral:rRNA from 1 species
UGAAUACGAGAUGCUACGGCGUCGAAGCAGUCUAUGUCAUACUUCCAAGAAAAGCUCGCACUGUCAUAAACAAAUAAUGCCUGUACCAUAACCGACACAGGUGGGUAGGUAGAGUAUACUAAGGGGCGCGAGAUAACUCUCUCUAAGGAACUCGGCAAAAUGACUCCGUAACUUCGGGAGAAGGAGUGCCUUAUUUAUAAGGUUGCAAUAACAAGAUCCAAGCAACUGUUUAUCAAAAACACAGGUCUCCGCUAAGUCGUAAGACGAUGUAUGGGGGCUGACGCCUCCCCAGUGCCAGAAGGUUAAAGAAGUUGGUUAGCAUUCGCGAAGCUGAUAACUGAAGCCCUGGUGAACGGCGGCCGUAACGAUAACGGUCCUAAGGUAGCGAAAUUCCUUGUCGGGUAAGUUCCGACCCGCACGAAAGGCGUAAUGAUUUGGAUACUGUCUCGGAGAGGGGCUCGGUGAAAUAGACUUGUCUGUGAAGAUGCGGACUACCUGCACCAGGACAGAAAGACCCUAUGAAGCUUUACUGUAACUUGAGAUUGAAAUUGGACUUUACUUGCGCAGUAUAGGUGGGAGGCGUUGAUAAUAUUCUUGCGGGAUUAUUUGAGCCAUCAGUGAGAUACCACUCUUGUAAUGUUAGAUUUCUAACUUUGUAUCAUUAUCUGGUCAAAGGACAGUUUCAGGCGGGCAGUUUGACUGGGGCGGUCGCCUCCUAAACGGUAACGGAGGCGCACAAAGGUUUCCUCUGAACGGGUAGAAAUCGUAUCUAGAGUGUAAAGGCAUAAGGAAGCUUGACUGUGAGACCUACAAGUCGAGCAGGGACGAAAGUCGGUCUUAGUGAUCUGACGGUGCUGAGUGGAAAGGCCGUCACUCAACGGAUAAAAGUUACUCUAGGAUAACAGGCUGAUCUCCCCCAAGAGUUCACAUCGACGGGGAGGUUUGGCACCUCGAUGUCGGCUCAUCGCAUCCUGGGGCGGUAGUACGUCCCAAGGGUUGGGCUGUUCGCCCAUGAAAGCGGUACGCGAGCUGGGUUCAGAACGUCGUGAGACAGUUCGGUCCAUAUCCGGUGUAGGCGUUAGAAUAUUGAGAGGAGCCUUCUUUAGUACGAGAGGACCGAGAAGGACAUACCUCUGGUGUACCAGUUAUCGUGCCAACGGUAAACGCUGGGUAGCUAUGUAUGGAGUGGAUAACCGCUGAAAGCAUCUAAGUGGGAAGCCCACCUCAAGAUAAGUAUUC